CAAUAGCGUAUAUUGACGUUGUUGCAGUUAAAAAGCUCGUAGUUGGAUUUCUGGAGGGAGCGUCGGCCCGUAUUUACGAGUGCGUGACGUCUCUGUCCAUCCUUGCGGGAAGGCACGGCAUUGAUUUGUUGUGUCGGAUCGCAUCAUUUACUGUGAAAAAAUUAGAGUGUUCAAAGCAGGCUUUCGCUUGAAUACAUUAGCAUGGAAUAAUAAGAUAGGACUUUGGUGCUAUUUUGUUGGUUGAGCCUAAAGUAAUGAUUAAUAGGGAUAGUUGGGGGCACCUGUAUUGCGUUGUCAGAGGUGAAAUUCUUGGAUUUGCGCAAGACAAACAGCUGCGAAAGCGUCUGCCAAGGAUGUUUUCAUUAA
rnacentral:rRNA from 1 species